rnacentral:rRNA from 1 species
GUAGGGAAUAUUGGUCAAUGGACGAAAGUCUGAACCAGCCAUUCCGCGUGCAGGAAGAAGAUUCUAUGGAUUGUAAACUGCUUUUAGCAGAGAAGAAACGCCUUCAUUGAUGAGGGUUUGACGGUAUCUGCGGAAUAAGCACCGGCUAACUCCGUGCCAGCAGCCGCGGUAAUACGGGGGGUGCAAGCGUUAUCCGGAAUCACUGGGUUUAAAGGGUGCGUAGGCGGGAAAUUAAGUCAGUGGUGAAAGUCUGUUGCUUAACGAUAGAAUUGCCGUUGAUACUGAUUUUCUUGAAUUGGGUUGAGGUUAGCGGAAUGUGACAUGUAGCGGUGAAAUGCAUAGAUAUGUCAUGGAACACCAAUUGCGAAGGCAGCUAGCUGGGCCUUGAUUGACGCUGAGGCACGAAAGCGUGGGUAGCGAACAGGAUUAGAUACCCUAGUAGUCC